GUGCUCCCUUCGGCAGCACAUACACUAAAAUUGGAACAAUGCAGAGAAGAUUAGCAUGGCCCCUGCGCAAGGAUGGCACACAAAUACGGGAAACGUUCCAUAUUUUU